rnacentral:rRNA from 1 species
UUGGUGGAAAGUUUUUCGGCUUGGGAUGGGCUCGCGCCCUAUCAGCUUGUGGUGGGGUGAUGGCCUACCAAGGCGACGACGGGUAGCCGGCCUGAGAGGGCGACCGGCCACACUGGGACUGAGACACGGCCCAGACUCCUACGGGAGGCAGCAGUGGGGAAUAUUGCACAAUGGGCGAAGCCUGAUGCAGCGACGCCGCGUGAGGGAUGACGGCCUUCGGGUUGUAAACCUCUUUCAGCAGGGACGAAGCGUAAGUGACGGUACCUGCAGAAGAAGCGCCGGCCAACUACGUGCCAGCAGCCGCGGUAAGACGUAGGGCGCGAGCGUUGUCCGGAUUUAUUGGGCGUAAAGAGCUCGUAGGCGGCUUGUCGCGUCGACCGUGAAAACCUGGGGCUCAACCCCAGGCCUGCGGUCGAUACGGGCAGGCUAGAGUUCGGUAGGGGAGACUGGAAUUCCUGGUGUAGCGGUGAAAUGCGCAGAUAUCAGGAGGAACACCGGUGGCGAAGGCGGGUCUCUGGGCCGAUACUG